rnacentral:lncRNA from 1 species
AACGAGCAGCAGAGCCGCCCAGCAGCAACCACAUUAGGAAGGAAUCGGAAACCAACGCUCCGCUGGCUGUCACCCCUUACCCACUUGCUGUCAGACCACAGCCUGAGGCAGCCAAACCCAUUUCCUUGGGGAUCCAGCGCAAACCAGAGAGUGUGGACAGGCCGAUGGAAGAAUGUUGGACCAGCUUUAAGAAUGGGCUGUUCUAAGUCAUGAAUAUUGUAGGAAGCAGCUCUAAGGACCACAGGGCUGGAGGGUGCACAGGAAGGGGCCAGUGCAUACAGGUGUCCAAACAGUGUCAUCCGGUGUCCUGACAUGCGGCCCCAAUGGACUGAUCCAGGGUGGAAAGGAAGAGUGAGAAGAAAUCAGACAGAAGAAUUCAGGAGAUGUGGCAACAGAGUGGAUGUAGCAGAAGGGACAUAGAGAGUGCCUAAAGAUGAGUCUUUGGUCAGCAUGUGAUGAAAAGAAUGAAGACACUGGGGAAGUGGGGAGCAGAAGCGGAUGUGGGCCCAGGAGGAAGAAGAUUCCAGAGAGCAGAGAUGGCAAAAAGAUGCAUGGAAGAGAGACACAGCAGGGUCGGGUUCUGGCCUCAGGAGCCAAGGGGGAAGUGCCUGAGGAGACCCCCAAAUGAGGCCUGUGUCAAUGAGGUCUUUAGGGGACUGGUUUCCAUGUAUGCCAGGCCAUACUCCCUGGAUUCCCAGCAUUGAGAAGACCAAACACUUCUACACAUUUAUUACUGAAGCCCCCUGCAAGCUGAAGGCGGAGGAAGUGGCCAAUCUCCUAAGCCGUGUGUGGCUGAGGCAGUUGUCAGAGCUGUGAUGAGGGAAAUGCUCAUUAUUCUUCUAUCCCUCACUUGGCCAAAUAAAGAACUUCUUAGAAUUCUUCCCCUGUGACAAAACGGGGCUGUGAUUUGGAAAGCCUCAGGCAAGUUUGCUAGGGCCGCGGUAACCAAGCACCACAGACUGGGUGGCUUCAAAACUGGACGGCUUCAACAGAAAGUUAUUGUUGCUCAGUUCUGGAAGCCAGAAGUCCAAAAUCAAGGUACUUGCAGGGUCAGUUCGAUCUGAGGGCUGCGAGGGAAGGAUCUGUUGUAGACCUCUCUCCUAGGUUUGCAGGCAUUGGUCCUGAUGUUCACAGGGCAUCCUUCCUGUGCCUUCACAUCAUCUUCUCUCUGAAUGUAUCUCUGGGUCCAAAUUUCCCUAUUUUAAAAUAAGGAAAUCAGUCCUAUUGGGUUAGCACCCCGCCCCUCACUUUAACUUGAUUACCUCUGUAAAGACCCUACCUCCAAAUAAGAUCACAUUCUGCGUACUGAGGGCUAGGACCUCAACAUCUGAAUUCAGGGUGGGUGGAUGCACAAUUCAUUCCAUAACAUUAAGAAGGAAGGGAUAAGUGCCCAAGGAAUCACAUGCUCGCUUGGGGAGAGUUCCAAGCGUGCAGAGCUGGUGGUCAUAGCCUAGCCUCAGGCCUUCGGAAAUCCCCUGAAUCUGGUUUUCCCAGUUCUCAUAAUCUCAUUUCACCAAAAUACGGCAUCUCAAUACAUUCCAUGCAUUUCUGGUGACAAGCUCAUUCUGGUGCACGCUAAGCAAUGUGCUAACUACGUCUUAACUAGGGUGGUUUAACUGGUUUGGUUAACAUAGAUCUCUGAGUCAUUUCACGCAUUCCUUAAGCCUAAACAAAUCUCAUCCAGGUGUUUAAGACAUUGCACAAUAUUAGACCAUCUGAAGCUCCAUCUCCUUGGGGCAAUGAUGAUGAUGGUGAUGAAAGUGGCUGGUGACUGUUCUCAGUCUCAUCGCCAUAAUGGAACCCUACGUUGUGUUCCUCCACACUGGUGUGAGGGACACUACUAAGUGCGGCAGAGUUUGCACUCAGGAUAGAGAAAUAUGGACUCACGCACAGAUUCCAGCUGAGUCCCUCCGAUGUGCUAGGUACUAUGUCCAGCCCCCCAGGAUUCACCUGUAAGCAGGACAGUCUUUUGGAUGACAGAGGGAAUUCUCAUAUAUCCACAGGCAGAUGGAAUUUACAAGUGGAAAGACCUAGAAGUUCAGAGACAGGGGGACUGAACUUUUUGCUUUCAGUCAGAAUCUUUGCUUACGGUUGUGCAAAUGCUUGCAUUGGUGGGUUUCCAUGCCAUAUAACGUGCUACAUAUUUUUACGUUACCCUUGCACAUAAGCAUACUGUUGGGAGGGAAAAUGAAGAGGGUGGAGGUGGUAACAAACUCAAGCUAAGGAAAUGGAAUUUGGAUGGGUACAAAGUCCAGAGAAUUAGCUUGAGGAAAAUGAACCAGGAUUCACACAGGAGUUUUCAAACAUCUCAAUAUCAGGACCCCUUUACCCUCUUAAAACUUACUUCGUGAGGACCUUAAAGAGCUUUUGUUUGUGUGACUUAUAUGUAUUAAUAUUUACUAUAUUAGAAAUUAAAAGUAAGGAAUGGUUGUAA